UACAGAGGUCUCAAGCGUUGUUCGGAAUUACUGGGCGUAAAGGGCUCGUAGGCGGCCAACUAAGUCAGACGUGAAAUCCCUCAGCUUAACUGGGGAACUGCGUCUGAUACUGGAUGGCUUGAGUUCGGGAGAGGGAUGCGGAAUUCCAGGUGUAGCGGUGAAAUGCGUAGAUAUCUGGAGGAACACCGGUGGCGAAGGCGGCAUCCUGGACCGACACUGACGCUGAGGAGCGAAAGCCAGGGGAGCAAACGGG
rnacentral:rRNA from 1 species